GAUGAACGCUAGCGAUAGGCUUAACACAUGCAAGUCGAGGGGCAGCACAAGGUAGCUUGCUAUCUGGGUGGCGACCGGCGCACGGGUGCGUAACGCGUAUGCAACUUGCCCUAUACAGGAGGAUAACCCGUCGAAAGACGGACUAAUACUGCGUAUGCUCACAACUUGGCAUCAAGUGGUGAGGAAAGAAAUUCGGUAUAGGAUAGGCAUGCGUCCCAUUAGCUUGUUGGUGAGGUAACGGCUCACCAAGGCAACGAUGGGUAGGGGAACUGAGAGGUUUAUCCCCCACACUGGUACUGAGACACGGACCAGACUCCUACGGGAGGCAGCAGUGAGGAAGAGUGGUCAAUGGGCGCGAGCCUGAACCAGCCAAGUCGCGUGAAGGAGGACUGUCUUAUGGAUUGUAAACUUCUUUUAUACGGGAAUAACAAGAGUCACGUGUGACUCCCUGCAUGUACCGUAUGAAUAAGCAUCGGCUAACUCCGUG
rnacentral:rRNA from 1 species